rnacentral:rRNA from 1 species
AACGGCGAGUGAACAGGCAAGAGCUCAGAUUUGAAAGGCACUUUUGUGCCGUUGUAUUCUGAAGUUAGGGUCCUGAGAAACGAUGCUUAAGUCUUCUGGAAAGGAGCGCCAUGGAGGGUGAUAGCCCCGUCUAGCAUUGACCUCAUAUAGGAUCUUAACAUGGAGUCGAGUUGUUUGGGAAUGCAGCUCAAAUGGGUGGUAUGCUCCAUCUAAAGCUAAAUAUCUGCGAGAGACCGAUAGUAAACAAGUACUGUGAGGGAAAGAUGAAAAGAACUUUGAAAAGAGAGUGAAAAAGUACGUGAAAUUGUUGAAAUGGAAGGGUAGGCCGCUAACCAUGUAGAGCCGUGUUUGGGGGGAAGAUAAAUGCUGUAGAAUGUAGCUCCUCGGAGUAUUAUAGAUGCAGUUCAUAUUCCCACCCGAGCGCGAGGAUCUCAGGUUCUACUAAAUGGUGGUCUACCACCCGUCUUGAAACACGGACCCA